UGAAUACGAGAUGCUACGGCGUCGAAGCAGUGUAUGUCAGACUUCCAAGAAAAGCUCGCAAUGUCAUAAAUAAAGAAUGCCUGUACCAUAACCGACACAGGUGGGUAGGUAGAGUAUACUAAGGGGCGCGAGAUAACUCUCUCUAAGGAACUCGGCAAAAUAACUCCGUAACUUCGGGAGAAGGAGUGCCUUCUUUAAGAAGGUUGCAAUAACAAGAUCCAAGCAACUGUUUAUCAAAAACACAGGUCUCCGCUAAGUCGUAAGACGAUGUAUGGGGGCUGACGCCUGCCCAGUGCCAGAAGGUUAAAGAAGUUGGUUAGCUUUUGCGAAGCUGAUGACUGAAGCCCUGGUGAACGGCGGCCGUAACAAUAACGGUCCUAAGGUAGCGAAAUUCCUUGUCGGGUAAGUUCCGACCCGCACGAAAGGCGUAAUGAUUUGGAUACUGUCUCGGAGAGGGACUCGGUGAAAUAGACUUGUCUGUGAAGAUGCGGACUACCUGCACCAGGACAGAAAGACCCUAUGAAGCUUUACUGUAACUUGAAAUUGAAAUUGGACUUUAUUUGCGCAGUAUAGGUGGAAGGCGUUGAAAGUAAUCUUGCGGGAUUAGUGGAGCCAUUAGUGAGAUACCACUCCUAUAAUGUUAGAUUUCUAACUUUGGAUCAUGAUCUGGUCAAAGAACAGUUUCAGCCGGGCAGUUUGACUGGGGCGGUCGCCUCCCAAAUGGUAACGGAGGCGUACAAAGGUUUCCUCUGAACGGGUAGAAAUCGUAUCUAGAGUGUAAAGGCAUAAGGAAGCUUGACUGUGAGACCUACAAGUCGAGCAGGGACGAGAGUCGGUCUUAGUGAUCUGACGGUGCUGAGUGGAAAGGCCGUCACUCAACGGAUAAAAGUUACUCUAGGAUAACAGGCUGAUCUCCCCCAAGAGUUCACAUCGACGGGGAGGUUUGGCACCUUGAUGUCGGCUCAUCGCAUCCUGGGGCGGUAGUACGUCCCAAGGGUUGGGCUGUUCGCCCAUGAAAGCGGUACGCGAGCUGGGUUCAGAACGUCGUGAGACAGUUCGGUUCAUAUCCGGUGUAGGCGUUAGAAUAUUGAGAGGAGCCUUCUUUAGUACGAGAGGACCGAGAAGGACAUACCUCUGGUGUACCAGUUAUCGUGCCAACGGUAAACGCUGGGUAGCUAUGUAUGGAGAGGAUAACCGCUGAAAGCAUCUAAGUGGGAAGCCCACCUCAAGAUGAGUAUUCAC
rnacentral:rRNA from 1 species